rnacentral:lncRNA from 1 species
GCGACCUGGACAACCGCGGUCGCUGUCCGUGGCGCCGCUGGGCCUGCGACUAGGUGGCAUCCUUCGGACACUAUAGGCCGUUUCUGCACACGUGAUGCGGGGCUCAGUCACGUUUCCCCCUGGAGGCUUGAGGAUGCGCCAGAAGAAUAAGAUGAACAGAUUAGCAAUGGACAUUUGGAAAAACAGCUGUGCACUAUGAUGCCUAUCUCUCUCACCAGAUUGUGAACUCCUAAAGUAUGAAAGUUUUCAAGACGCCUACAAGUGGAAAAUGCACUCCUCCCAGCCAAAUCAAGCUUUGCCAGAUUCCUUACAGCUGUGUGCAGUGAAAUGACUAAUGAAAGAGCCCUCCGCUGCUGGUGGAACUUUCACAUAUGGCACUGCUGUGCCACUCAGCAGGACCUGACCCUGGUAUUUACAUAUUGGAUGUCACCCCAAAAGCCCCUGACACGGGGGUUUCCGGGAUGUAAUAAGAAUGCCACUCUGGGCUUUGGAAGGUGCACCGUAUGCACACCCAUACUAUAGGGCAGAGAUUAGCAUUUCAGACCCCCAUUCCUCCCUCAACAAGCAAGUGCUUUUCCCCAGGGAGGACGUUCAGAUUCAUUCAUAGAUCCAUUGGUGCCAUGGGCAGCUCAGUAACAGUAGCUCUGCUGCCUACCAGCUGCUGGUAGAGGUGUUGAGAAUACCUAGAUGAGGAAGUCAGCUGCUGGUGGAGGUGUUGAGAAUACCUAGAUGAGGAAGUCAGGGCCCCUGCGUGCUUGAGCAGAGCUGGAUGCCUGGCAUGGCAAUGGACACAAACCCUUGGAUAAUUUCCAUCCUUGGCGGUGUGUUCUGUAGCAUAGGUGUGAAGCGGGUGCUCUGCGAGCUCGGAAGAGGGGCUCUUAACUUAUGGGUGGCCAGGGAAGGCUUCCUGGAGCUCAGAUGACUGAGUGGAGUCUUCAACAUUAAAAAAUAAAAAGUGCUCACCCCCACCCCCAGUUAAAAAGGUAAUACACCUAAUUGAAAUAAUUUAAACUUUACAGAAAUGGGUUCCUUUAAAGUUCAGAGAGUAAAGAGGAAGUAAUAAAGCUCAAAUCAUAGAAUGUC